CAGCAGCCGCGGGAAAACGGAGGGGGCUAGCGUUGUUCGGAAUUACUGGGCGUAAAGCGCACGUAGGCGGAUCGGUCAGUCAGAGGUGAAAGCCUGGAGCUCAACUCCAGAAUUGCCUUUGAGACUGUAUCGCUUGAACACGGGAGAGGUGAGUGGAAUUCCGAGUGUAGAGGUGAAAUUCGUAGAUAUUCGGAAGAACACCAGUGGCGAAGGCGGCUCACUGGACCGUUGUUGACGCUGAGGUGCGAAAGCGUGGGGAGCAAACAGGAUUAGAUACCCCUGUAGUCCCUGUCUCUUAUAC
rnacentral:rRNA from 1 species